rnacentral:snRNA from 1 species
AGAGCUUUUCAGCCUUUCAGGGAAACUCAUGUGUAGUGUGUGUUCUUACCAGUUUCUUAUCUGAUAGGUGGCUGCAAGGAUUCACUGUUAAAUAGCAUUGUGGAGACAGGAGAUGCUUUGGGAGCUUGCUGCAGCCGCUUCACACGUGGCCCUGGUAUUGCGAUACCUCCUGGUGCGCUGUUAGCCCU